UUUGGAAUGUUAUAAUUGGUUAUUUAAUUAUAUUUUUAUUAAAUGAAAUAAUUAUAUUUUCAUAAUGGAAACAUUCCUUCAAAAUUAAUAUAUGGUAUCUACGGUUAUGAUGGCCAUAUAUAUUGAAUAAUAAAAAUGUUUAUUAAUAUUUUAUGUCUUAUUAUUUAGUAUGAAUUCUAUCAAUGAUCAUGAAUGGAGAAAUAGCAUUGAGCAUAAAAUUCAAAAUUUAGAGAAAGAAAUGAAAGAAAUCAGAGAGUGUCUUACAACAAAAAGGAAUGCAGAAAUAGAUUUACAGGAAAAUAUUGAAAAUAAAAAGAUAAAACGGAUGAAUGUUGGUUGGAAGUAUGAGGAAGAAUUGUGUGCAAUAGCAGAAAAAAAAUUCAUCAUCAGCAGAUAAUGUGUCUCCCAUAAAUACUUUCAAAGGAGAUAAUGUUUUCUUCGAAGAUUUUAAACUAGAAAGUACACUAAGAAAUAAGGACAGAGAUAUGUUACAGUAUAUAUAUUCAAACUCCAAUGAUACCCAGUAAGUGUUAUGAUUAUUUUGUAUUAUUAAUUAAAUUUAUUUAUUUUCAUGUAUGUCUAAUUUACACAUUUUUCAUGUAUAGGCAAGUGAUUGUAAGGAAUAGUCACAUUCAUCUUUUACGAUCAGACUUUCGAUACCUUGGCCCUGGAAAAGAUGUAGAAAUAACGUUUUUGACUAUGGUCGCUACUUUAUUAACCAAUGAUGAGAGGACCAAAACUUGUGGAAAAGCAAGAAGAUGGUAUCUUCCAGCUAACAUAACUAAUGAGACGCUACCCUACAACAAUCUACCACUUUAUCAACGUUGGAAGAAAAUGCAUUAUUAUGAUUUAUACAUGGGUUCUCUUGAUAAGUGUAACGAGGUAUGAUAAUAUAAUUCUUUAUUUAAUUUUUUUCUUCAAUAAUUACAAAGUAACAUGGAAAUUUUUUAGAUUUUCAUUCCACUUUUAUUCUCGAAACAUUAUAUUCUCGCACGACUAUUGGUGUCUCUAAAAAAAGUUAAAGUUUGGGACUCACUUGCUGACAAAG